rnacentral:rRNA from 1 species
GAUGAACGCUAGCGACAGGCCUAACACAUGCAAGUCGAGGGGCAGCAUGAAAUUAGCUUGCUAAUUUUGAUGGCGACCGGCGCACGGGUGAGUAACACGUAUGCAACCUGCCUGUAAGCGGGGGAUAACCCGGAGAAAUUCGGACUAAUACCGCAUAAUGUCAUCGAAUCGCAUGUUUUGAUGAUUAAAAAUUUAUUGCUUACAGAUGGGCAUGCGUAUGAUUAGCUAGUUGGCGGGGUAACGGCCCACCAAGGCGACGAUCAUUAGGGGUUCUGAGAGGAAGGUCCCCCACAUUGGAACUGAGACACGGUCCAAACUCCUACGGGAGGCAGCAGUGAGGAAUAUUGGACAAUGGGGGCAACCCUGAUCCAGCGACGCCGCGUGAAGGAUGAAGGUCUUCGGAUUGUAAACUUCUUUUGAUGGGGAUGAAUGCCUACGUGAAUAACGUAGGGUGACAGUACCCGUUGAAUAAGCCACGGCUAACUACGUGCCAGCCGCCGCCGUAAAAC